CGUUAUUUGGCUACACUGUGACACUGAUUGCAGCCAAUGACACUACAUUAACAUCUAUACUCUGUCAAGAACAGCAGAGAAUGGGAUCACUGUGUCCUGUGUAGAUCCUGAGCCUACUGCGGCCCUGAUAGGAUCUUCAAUAAUCCGUUUAGCUAAUCCACCAGGACCACCUUCCAUAAUAAGACACUCCACUUUAAACACCUCAGCCAAUGAAGUCAGUGUAUCUGUACAGUGGAACCCUCCUACUGAGAAUGGUGGUAGAGAUGACCUCACCUACACAGUGACCAUAUCACCUCUGGCCCAGCUCUCUACUACUGUCCUCACAUCCACCUCUGUCACAGUGACUGCUCAAUACAAUGUGGACUACACUGUCAGUGUUGUGGCUACCAACUGUGCUGGGAACAGUACGACUGCCGAGUACAGCUUUAGGAUUGGCAGCUGUCCUGUGUUGACCAACCCCAUGAAUGGAGCCUUUGGACCAGUCGCCAGCAGAUUACCAGGAUCCACAGUAACUAUCCAGUGUGGCGAUG